GUCUUCAGCCACGCCACCCUGAACGUGCCUGAUCCCAUCUGAUCUUGGAAGCUAAGCAGGGUUGGGCCUGGUUAGUACUUGGAUGGGAGACCACCUAGGAAGACCAGGCGCUGUAGGCA
rnacentral:rRNA from 1 species